CUGCAUGAUGGUUUCUGGGCCAGUGGGUGAAAUGCUGCCACACCAGCUCUAAUCCUGAGUUUUGAACCUCAGGUUCAUUAACGUUGCUGCUGGCCAGCUCCUCUUGUGUCACCACGGUUCCUCAGCAAGCACCAUGCUGGGAAGUCCCAGAGGCAGGGAAGACCUGCUGCAUUAUUGAAAUGUCCAUGCCAACAGAGGAAGAUUCAUUAUUAAGUAGAUUCUGCAUUAUUACACGGUGCUCCUGACAAGCACCCUAACGCUACCCCAUAGGACAGUUCCACAAUCCAUCAUGACUGCCUGGGAUCUGUGACAACCCAGAGUGAUACGUGCUGGGUCAUCAGAACAGAGUAGGAGCAGCACAGCGUGACUUCAGGAGCCUAAAAAUAGGUACAAUAAUUUUUGAGCUGAAGGCUUUCUCCCCACCCCCUUCC